GUAGGAAGGAACAAAAGAAGUAAUAAGAAAGCUAAAUAUCCACCUCAAGUUCCAUAUAUAAUAUCUGCUUUGUCCUUAUUAUGCAGUCACAGAUCCUUAGAAAAACCACGUCUUGAAAAUAGAAUCUUGCAAAAAUGGUGAAAAAAAUGUCCAAGGAUUUGGCUUUCAACUGUUCCCAAACUCUGUAAAUACUAAAUACUCUCUACUCUCUGUCAGCAUCACCAUAUCCUCCUGACUCAUAUAUCUCAUAAGUUAACCAUGUCUCCUCAGACUCCUCCAAGCCAUGCAGAAGAAAACCACCAGCAACUUUUCUUGACACAACAUUCCUCUGGAGCUUGCUGCUUCCAAGAUUUUCAUGCUUUUUUUUUAAAUUUGUUACUAACUAAUACUUGUUGGGUUUCUUUUGAAUUUGUUUCCUUCUCUAGUUUCACCUCAACUUUUUGAUUUGAAGUAUGCUUGUGUGAAGAGAAAUAUAUAAUUUUAAAAAGGGUGAUAAAGAAUCAAAGAUGGCGGCUGCAUUGGCCGGAGAUGAGCUUGUGGGGUCAGUGAGCAGUGGGAGGAGGACUCACGGAUCAGUGAGCAAGAGAAGUUGGACUUCGACGAGUUUCAGAGAACUGUGGAGUGGGCAGGGGGAUGUGUUUCAGCGCAGUGGGAGGCCAGCAUAUGAUGAUGAGGAGGAGUUGAAGUGGGCUGCAAUAGAGAGGCUUCCUACGUUUGAUAGAUUAAGAAGAGGAAUGCUUAAGCAGGUUUUAGAUGAUGGAAAAGUUGGUUAUGAAGAGAUUGAUGUUACCAAUCUUGGAAGGCUGGACAAGAAGCACCUCAUGGAAAAUAUACUCAAGGUUGCUGAAGAGGACAAUGAGAAAUUUCUUCUAAGGCUUAGAGAAAGGACUGAUAGGGUUCGGAUUGAGAUUCCACAGAUUGAAGUCCGGUUCGAGCAUUUAUCAGUAGAAGGGGAUGCAUAUAUUGGAACCAGAGCACUUCCCACUCUGCUGAAUUCCUACAGGAACAUCAUAGAAGGAAUUCUUGGAUUUGUGAAGCUGUUCCCGUUAAAGAAAAGAGUAGUCAAGAUACUUCGUGACAUGAGUGGAAUAGUUAAGCCAUCAAGAAUGACACUGCUUCUGGGACCUCCGGGAUCAGGGAAGACAACAUUUCUUCAGGCACUUGCUGGCCAGACGGAUAACGAUCUAAGGGUAUCCGGAAGAGUCACUUACUGUGGUCAUGAAUUUUCAGAGUUUGUUCCUCAAAGAACAUGCGCUUAUAUCAGCCAGCAUGAUCUGCACCAUGGUGAGAUGACAGUCAGAGAAACAUUGAAUUUUUCAGGAAGAUGCUUGGGGGUUGGUACCAGAUACGAACUACUGGCGGAAUUAUCUAGACGAGAAAAAGAAUCAGGAAUCACACCGGAUCCUGAGAUAGAUGCAUUCAUGAAAGCCACAGCUCUGGCAGGACACGAAACCAGUUUAGUAACAGACUAUGUUCUGAAGAUACUUGGAUUAGAUAUAUGUGCUGAUGUUUUAGUGGGUGAUGAGAUGAGAAGGGGCAUAUCUGGUGGACAAAAGAAGCGUCUUACGACAGGAGAAAUGCUGGUUGGACCAGCAAAAGCUUUUUUCAUGGAUGAAAUAUCUACUGGUUUAGACAGUUCAACCACAUUCCAAAUCAUCCGGUUUAUGAGGCAGAUGGUUCAUAUAAUGGAUGUCACCAUGAUAAUUUCUCUUCUGCAACCUGCACCUGAAACCUUUGAACUCUUUGAUAACAUUAUCUUAGUUUCGGAGGGUCAUAUUGUCUACCAAGGUCCACGAGAGAAUGCACUAGAAUUUUUUGAGAGUGUAGGUUUCAAAUGUCCAGAAAGGAAAGGAGUGGCAGACUUCCUGCAAGAGGUUAUUUCUACAAAGGACCAAGAACAAUACUGGUUUAAAAAGAACGAACCAUACCGAUAUAUUAGUGCAUUGGAAUUUUCGGAUUAUUUCAAAAACUUCCACAUUGGCCAAAACCUGUCUGAAGAACUUGGAAAUCCCUAUGACAGAUCUAAAACUCAUCCUGCAGCAUUAUCGAAAAAAAUGUAUGGAAUCUCAAACUGGGAACUCUUCAAGGCAUGCUUUGCAAGAGAGUGGCUAUUGAUGAAGCGCAACUCCCCUCUAUAUGUAUUCAAGACAACACAGAUCACAAUCAUGUCAAUAAUUUCCAUGACUAUAUUUUGGAGAACAGAGAUGAAGCACGGCAGAUUAGAAGAUGGUGGGAAAUUUUAUGGUGCACUAUUUUUCAGUCUGAUAAAUGUAAUGUUCAAUGGGAUGACAGAGCUUGCAAUGACUAUAUUCAGGCUCCCUGUAUUUUUCAAACAGAGAGAUCUCUUGUUACAUCCAGCAUGGGCUUUCUGCUUACCAAUUUCGGUUCUCAGGAUUCCUGUAUCAUUGAUAGAAUCAGGAAUAUGGAUCAUACUCACGUAUUACACUAUCGGUUUUGCUCCUGCAGCUAGUAGGUUUUUCCGCCAGCUAUUGGCGUUAUUCAGUGUGCAUCAGAUGGCCCUAUCUCUGUUCCGUUUCAUUGCAGCUCUUGGAAGAACACAAAUAGUUGCAAGCACACUUGGCACCUUCACGCUGCUAUUGGUUUUUGUCCUUGGUGGAUUCAUUGUUGCCAAAGAUGACAUUGAACCGUGGAUGAUAUGGGGCUACUAUAUUUCUCCCAUGAUGUAUGGACAAAAUGCCAUUGUCAUCAAUGAAUUUCUUGACAAAAGAUGGAGUGCACCCAAUAUUGACCCAAGAAUCUCUGAACCUACAGUUGGAAAGGCUCUUCUAAAGACCAGAGGCAUGUUUACAGAAGAAUACUGGUAUUGGAUAUGCAUAGGGGCACUCCUUGGCUUUUCACUGCUUUUCAACAUCUUGUUUAUUGCAGCACUGACUUAUCUGAACCCUUUCGGAGAUUCUAAAUCCAUUAUUCUGGAGGAUGAUGACAAGCAUAGAAGUAAAAACCAGUCAAUGUUAGAUAUAAUGGGAGGCACAGAAAUGAGUUCAGCAUCCACUGCCCCAUUGUCGGAAGGUAUCGAUAUGGUCGUGAAGAAACCUAAGAAACGAGGAAUGGUCCUGCACUUUCAGCCUUUAUCACUUGCAUUUGAUCAUGUGAACUACUAUGUUGAUAUGCCUGCUGAAAUGAAGAGCCAAGGAAUUGAAGAGGAUCGCCUCCAAUUGUUACGAGAUGUUAGUGGUGCUUUUAGGCCUGGCAUUCUAACAGCAUUGGUUGGUGUAAGUGGUGCAGGAAAGACUACCUUAAUGGAUGUGCUAGCAGGAAGGAAAACUAGUGGUUAUAUUGAAGGAAGUAUCAGCAUUUCUGGUUACCCAAAGAACCAAGCAACUUUUGCCCGAGUUAGCGGUUAUUGUGAACAAAAUGAUAUCCAUUCUCCAAAUGUAACUGUUUAUGAAUCUCUUCUGUACUCUGCCUGGAUGCGCCUUGCUAAGGAGAUUACAAAGGAAACACGACAGAUGUUUGUGGAGGAAGUCAUGGAUUUGGUUGAGCUACACCCACUGAGGAAUUCCUUAGUAGGCCUUCCUGGAAUAAAUGGUCUGUCAACAGAACAGAGAAAGAGAUUAACCGUAGCUGUAGAGUUGGUUGCGAACCCCUCUAUAAUCUUCAUGGAUGAGCCAACAUCAGGUCUUGAUGCAAGGGCUGCUGCAAUCGUCAUGCGUACAGUGAGAAAUACUGUGGAUACAGGGAGGACUCUUGUCUGCACUAUUCAUCAGCCAAGCAUAGACAUUUUUGAAGCCUUUGAUGAGCUACUUCUGAUGAAGAGAGGUGGACAAGUUAUUUAUGCCGGACCCCUUGGCCGCUGUUCUCAAAGGCUGAUAGAAUAUUUUCAAGCUAUUCCAGGAAUUACUGAGAUCAGAGAUGGUUACAAUCCUGCAACAUGGAUGUUGGAAAUUAGUUCUCCUGCAGUUGAGGCACAACUCAAUGUGGACUUUGCUGAUAUAUAUCAGAAGUCUGAACUUUAUAAGAAGAAUCACGAACUUAUUGAAGAGCUAAGCACUCCAGUCCCAGGAUCCAAAGACCUUCACUUCCCCACUAAAUACUCUCAGUCUUUUCUUACUCAAUGCAAAGCUUGCUUCUGGAAACAACAUUGGUCAUACUGGAGGAACCCGCCAUACAAUGCCAUCCGGCUCUUUUUGAGCAUAGUUGUCGGUACUAUUUUCGGACUUAUUUUCUGGAACAAAGGAGAAAAAACACACAAGGAACAAGACCUACUCAAUCUGAUGGGAGCCAUGUAUUCUGCCAUUAUGUUCCUGGGAGCCACCAACACUGCCUCAGUGCAGCCUGUUGUGGCAAUUGAAAGAACAGUAUUCUACCGCGAAAGAGCAGCAGGGAUGUACUCUGCAUUGCCUUAUGCAUUUGCCCAGGUGGCAAUUGAGACAAUUUACGUUGCCGUCCAAACUCUGGUGUAUAGUCUCAUCCUUUAUUCAAUGAUCGGCUUCCCUUGGAGAGUUGACAAGUUUUUUUGGUUCUACUACUUCAUAUUGAUGUGCUUUAUCUACUUCACAUUGUAUGGCAUGAUGCUUGUAGCUCUCACGCCAGGCCACCAAAUUGCAGCCAUUGUGAUGUCCUUUUUCCUAAGCUUCUGGAAUCUCUUCUCUGGUUUCCUCAUCCCUAGGACGCAAAUACCAAUAUGGUGGAGAUGGUACUACUGGGGUUCUCCGGUGGCUUGGACAAUCUAUGGACUUGUGACUUCCCAAGUGGGAGACAAAACUUCAUUAGUUGAAGUUCCAGGACAAGCUCGCAUGUCAGUGCAGACUUACCUUAAGAGGAGAUUAGGCUUUGAAUAUGACUUCCUUGGAGCCGUUGUUGUUGCCCAUAUUGGUUUCGUGCUCCUAUUCUUGUUCGUCUUUGCCUACGGCAUCAAGUAUCUCAACUUCCAAAGGAGAUGAGGAAGCAUACUGGUUUUACUAUCUGUCAAAGUUUUGUAGAUUUUUCACAGCUCCAAUUGUAUUUGUUCUCGAACAUACUGAUAUAUGUUGAAAAAGGAAGUGAGAUUUGCUUGCAAAUCAGAGAGGCAGCACAUUGCUGGAUGGAAGUGAUUAGGCUUCCCAAAAAUAUCAUUGUUGAGAGGCUAGUGGUCAAAACAGACGCAUUUUGAGCACACGACAAGGCACAAAUUUCACCAGAGAAAAAGGAUGACAAUGUUGGAGUGGAUCUUUCUGUGAGGCAUUGAAAGAGACAUUCAACCACAGAAGUUUAUGUGUGUGUAUAGUGUUACUUUGAAUUAUAACCAACAUUUAUGUUUUCAUAUAAAAGUCCUUCAGUCUUACCCGUUGUGUACAAAUUUAAUGUUAGAAAUGCAUUAAAUCUUUUCUAACGUUAAAUCCGGAACACAAGGAUGUUGACAUCGCUUGCUAAACAACUUGGUAAUGCAAGCAUGUUUUGUUGUCAAGACUGUCGAUAUAUUAAGAUUAUUCUUGCUUGAGUA